AAUCAACGCUGGCGGCGUGCCUCAGACAUGCAAGUCGAACGCGAAAGUUCCCUUCGGGGGACAAGUAGAGUGGCGCACGGGUGAGUAACACGUAGGUAAUCUACCUUUGGAUGGGGAAUAACAAUCGGAAACGGUUGCUAAUACCGCAUAAUGCAGCGGCACCUAAUGGUGACAGUUGUUAAAGCGGGGAUCGAAAGACCUCGCGUCUGAAGAGGAGCCUGCGGCGGAUAGCUAGUUGGUAAGGUAACGGCUUACCAAGGCGACGAUCCGUAGCCGGCCUGAGAGGGCGGUCGGCCACACUGACACUGACAUACGGGUCAGACUCCUACGGGAGGCAGCAGUCGGGAAUUUUGGGCAAUGGGCGAAAGCCUGACCCAGCAACGCCGCGUGAAGGAUGAAGUAUUUCGGUAUGUAAACUUCGAAAGAAUGGGAAGAAUCAAUGACGGUACCAUUUAUAAGGUCCGCUAACUACGUGCCAGCAGCCGCAGU
rnacentral:rRNA from 1 species